rnacentral:lncRNA from 1 species
GUUUUUUUUACUAGUUUACCUAAGAGAUGAUAAAGACUUUGAAACUGCUAUGGCCGUAAGGUUGGAAUAGAAAAACGUGAGAGAUUAAAGACAAAGGAUUAUGAAAUUUUCAUGACUAAAAGGCAGGGCAGGAGUAUGGUUCAAGAACAAACGAGAGGUGAACCGUGGCCACCAAAAUGCGAAACAGAGUAAGGACUAAAAACUGUCCACAGAACUCACCAACCAAAGUGACCCUAUAAAGAGCUAGCAGUACAGAAUCGAGCCGAAGGCACACCAGCUACAGCAGACCAAGGCAUGGACAGAGGAGUGGGGCGCAUGGACUAGGAGAAGCCUACUGAUUAGCCAAGAGGGCGAGAGAAGAAGGAAUACAGGGGAGUUUGCUUGCCACGGCGUACAGCUGGCGGGAAUCUAGAUUCAUCGCCUGUUGAGGACUCCGAGAAGUCGAACCCUGGUUGACACUUUGCCCAUGGAAUACUGUGCACCGGUCAGAAGCAAUCAACUGGACAGUGGCAUGGAUAGGUUUUGAAAUGUACUGAGUGAAAAGUUAUAGUCAGAUUCUUAGCACAAUUCCACUUAUAUAAAUUUCACACACACACACACACACACACACACACACACACAACACUAUUUUACACCCCUACCCAGAGACACAGGCCAGUGGCGGGGACAGGUGGGCACAACAUGACUGUCCU